rnacentral:rRNA from 1 species
UACGGAGGGUGCAAGCGUUGUUCGGAAUUAUUGGGCGUAAAGGGCGUGUAGGUGGCAUCCCAAGUCUGGUGUGAAAUCCCACGGCUCAACCGUGGAACUGCAUUGGAAACUGGGACGCUCGAGGGUUGGAGGGGGUCGCGGAAUUCCCGGUGUAGAGGUGAAAUUCGUAGAUAUCGGGAGGAACACCAGUGGCGAAGGCGGCGACCUGGCCAAUCACUGACACUGAGACGCGAAAGCGUGGGGAGCAAACAGG